GUCUCGCGUAAGGGGUGGAAGCGGCAUCCUUUUAUGGCUCUCGUUUUUUAACGAGAGCCAUAAAAGAUACAGCGGACGACCCGACCCAUU
rnacentral:sRNA from 1 species